AUGACUUCCAGGCAAGCAUGGCAUAGAGGAAUGCUGACGUGGGUUCUCGAGGAGCUGCUCGCGUGCUGCCUGGCCCUCAACGCCGCCAAGCACCACUUCGCCAUCGUCGUCGCGUUCCGGAACACUUGGCCUAAGUACCAGCCUGUUAAGCCAUUAGAGGCGGACCAUUCUGACGAGGCAUCGUCGCGGAUGCAUGCGGUGCUGACGUUUCUGACCUUGAGUUCGCCCAGCUUGCCGAUGGAACAAGCUUGCGCCUGCUCAGACAACCGGCACCCCACCGUCCUAUGUCGCCCAGGUGUAACUCGUGCUUGA
rnacentral:rRNA from 1 species